CCAAGUCGUGUGAACAAGUUAUGGAUACAACACAUUAGAAAAUACGCCAAGGAGUGGCGGAGCCACAUGUGCUUGAGGGGUAUGACACCCCUUUUCCGGAAUAUUACAUUGCGCAGCUAGGCAAAAAUGUUACAUGUAUAUACUACAUAUUGACGCCCGUCGAUUCGGGCUUAAGCCAACUUGACCAAGGAGGGAGCUUAACUCGAUUUCAAUAAUAGGAGCAUAACCUACGACUAAUGUAUGUAGACCAAGGACUUUGCUUCUUCGUGAAUUUACUUCUUUAUACCACCUUGACAUCCCUUGGUGAAAGCUGUAGCUCCGCCAAUUAGGACCCAACCACAUAAGCAAAUUCAUGUUAUAUUACCUAUUUGACGGAAAGCAGUCUAUAUAAAAGAUGAACUUGAUGGAGAAAAGGCCAUCUAUAGAGCGAAAGGUGAAAAAACACAUCUAAAGUAUUCCAAUUUUUGAAUUUCAUGCCUAAACUAUCACCAAUUAGUUAGUAAAUGUUAAUUGUUUGAGUUUCAUACCUAAACGGAAACUGACACAGUUGAUAGUAUAGUUUAGGCAUGUAAGUACUGAAAAUAUCGAUCAGGUGUGUUUUGGACCAUUAACUCAAAUCAAUGUAUAUACAAUUAUGCAAGCGGUUUUUCUAGUCUAGGCACAUAGAUAGAUGAUAAAGCAAAUAGGUACCUCGCUCUCCUCGAUCUGAUCCACAUACUUGUUCCAGCACUCUAUAUCCCCGGGAUUCGGAAAAUACCCUACAUCUUUGUGGGGAAGAAAAUGGUGACAUUUGAUGUGGCUUCCAUCCAUAGGUAAUGGAUCCAAAGUUUUAAAAUCGCUCGAUUCUUCAUCUGCAUCUGAUUCGCUGCUCAAGAAGUUCUCCGAUUCGCUCGAGUCGGAUUCACUUUCAUUUUCACCUUGUGANNNNNN
rnacentral:lncRNA from 1 species